GUCCAUCCAAAUUUUGACGUGGCUUCUGAAAUGACAUGGUAUGGGUAUUGACCAUGAAAGCCAUAACACGCUCCGAAACACGUAUGUCCUCCAUUCUGAGCUCCUACAACAAUUGGCCAUAUUCUGGCACGUGAAUCA